GACGAACGCUGGCGGCGUGCUUAACACAUGCAAGUCGAACGAUGAAGCCGGAGCUUGCUCUGGUGAAUUAGUGGCGAACGGGUGAGUAACACGUGAGUAACCUGCCCUUGACUCUGGGAUAACUGCUAGAAAUGGUAGCUAAUACCGGAUACGACCCUCGGAGGCAUCUCCAGGGGGUGGAAAGAACUUCGGUCAAGGAUGGACUCGCGGCCUAUCAGCUAGUUGGUGAGGUAAAGGCUCACCAAGGCGACGACGGGUAGCCGGCCUGAGAGGGUGACCGGCCACACUGGGACUGAGACACGGCCCAGACUCCUACGGGAGGCAGCAGUGGGGAAUAUUGCACAAUGGGCGCAAGCCUGAUGCAGCAACGCCGCGUGAGGGAUGACGGCCUUCGGGUUGUAAACCUCUUUUAGCAGGGAAGAAGCGAAAGUGACGGUACCUGCAGAAAAAGCACCGGCUAACUACGUGCCAGCCGCCGCAGUAA
rnacentral:rRNA from 1 species